UACGUAGGGUGCAAGCGUUUGUCCGGAAUUAUUGGGCGUAAAGAGCUCGUAGGCGGUUCGUCGCGUCGGCUGUGAAAACCCGGAGCUUAACUCCGGGCCUGCAGUCGAUACGGGCGGACUGGAGUUCGGCAGGGGAGACUGGAAUUCCUGGUGUAGCGGUGAAAUGCGCAGAUAUCAGGAGGAACACCGGUGGCGAAGGCGGGUCUCUGGGCCGAUACUGACGCUGAGGAGCGAAAGCGUGGGGGAGCGAACAGG
rnacentral:rRNA from 1 species